UCACCAUGUAACACAUACCGUUUCUGCUUUUAUAGUUCCAGACUGUUCCUUCGUUGCUCCCCGAACGGCCCUUGCACGACAAAAAGUAUAGGGAGUAGUUACGGCGACCGGUGAACAGCACCUUACUAACGUCAACGUUGCCUCCGUUCCGUGAAUCGGCCGUUCCCGGCUAACGUAGUCCUUGGGCUUCUAAUAUUUACACGCUCGCAGCGCGAGCCACCACGAUAUUCCCAACGUUGACGAUAAAGCCAACGGCGUAAAGAACUGAAUUGAAUUUUGCGUACAAACAGGAUCAGUCGCCUUAGAGUGUAAAUAAUGGCGGGGCAGCGUUGUGACGCGAGCUUUCCCCGAGAUACUGCCCCUUUUCAUGGAACCAGUAAUUCGACGUUAUCUGCGGAUGUCCCUUUAUGAGCGACGUCGCGCGUUGCGGUUUAACUUCCAUUCAUGUAAUUCGAUCGUUUCGAGAAGCCUGAGUGCAUAUAAUAUAGCCUGUGCACCGACGCGAAUAAAAAUAAAAAAAGAAAAAAAAAGGAAGAGAGAAGAAGAAAAAAAGAAAGAAAGAAAGAAAGAAAGAAAGAAAGAAAGAAAGAAGUACAAGAAGCGUUUGGAGAGAAGGCUUUGACGACAUGGAGUAAAAAAGGGCGUAAAAACUUACGAGCACGAUAGUUGUUUUUCACCUAUACGACUGAGGUAAAAAAAAAAAAAAGAAGGACACGGUGUAAGAGGUUGGAAUAAAAGACGCGUGAAAGAAACAAGACACGCAAGUACUGCAAAUCGAGAGAAAGAAACGUAGUGUAAAAAAAAAAAAUAUUGCGGUGCUGUUCGCUGCCGGUUAGCCCCUGGGCUUGAAAGUCUAUUGUCCUCGGUUCAUUACACAUUUUCAGGAGUGUCCUGGCGAAGGACAGUGGGUGGAGGGACCAGUCGCUGACCAGAUGCAUGACAACGAAAUAUGAAAUAUCAGAUUUCACUAACGUUACGUCUUUUUACCAUAGUGCGUUUUUCGCGAGCAAGGGCCACCAAAGGCAGUGGAAAAAAGAACAGCGGGGCGAAAUAAAAGGGAAAAACAUUUUACAAAACGUUGUUCUCCGUCCCAGGAAAGCAGGCAGAGGGGGAGGGAGUCGGAUUUUCAGCUCCGAUAAUAGUCACUUUUGGGGUAACCGAGCGAAUCCAUUGAAUCACCGAUCGCCAAUUUCUCGUAGUCAUCGAUGACGUGUUUAGAGGAGUCAUAAGGAAGAGCUAGACAACUUGUAACAAUACCAGCCUCCAAAAUAAUGUGCUCGAAGACGCAAACACGUCAAUUAAGUUGAUUUCACAGUUACGAAACGAGACACGGGAAAAAGGACGAAGAACAAACAUUUUAACGAUAAGCUUUUGCCGCCGCUGCUACUACUACUACCACUAGGUCGUCCUCCGCUUCGGAAACUUUUAAGAAGCCGAAGAAGAAUAUUCGCAAAUGGAGUACUCAAGUUCCAGUUUGCGGUCAGUACGCUCAUAUUAUGCAGCCGUGAUCUUUGUAGAUUACAAACGAAAGUCUUUUCUCUUAGUGGCGUUCCGGCGAUGUUAAACUUUUGUGGGCCAGCAGCCGUCCAUUACGGUGAUAACAUUGCAGCCAUCAAGCUUACCACUGCUUACUCCCCAUCUUUCGAAGAAGAAGAAACUGCUUUUAAUCUUCAAAGAGGAUUCUUUUAACCCUUUGUAACAUAAGUAGAUUUCUCGUUCCUUGUGAAACGAAAUUUAUCAUAAUUUCUUAGUGUUUCUUAAAGUUAAAUAAAUACGAAUCUUUACUAA